rnacentral:rRNA from 1 species
GAUGAACGCUGGCGGCGUGCCUAAUACAUGCAAGUCGAGCGAAUGAAGAGGAGCUUGCUCCUCUGAUUUAGCGGCGGACGGGUGAGUAACACGUGGGUAAUCUGCCUGUAAGACGGGGAUAACUCCGGGAAACCGGGGCUAAUACCGGAUAAUAAGAAGAAACGCAUGUUUCUUUUUUGAAAGUCGGUUUCGGCUGACACUUACAGAUGAGCCCGCGGCGCAUUAGCUAGUUGGUGAGGUAACGGCUCACCAAGGCGACGAUGCGUAGCCGACCUGAGAGGGUGAUCGGCCACACUGGGACUGAGACACGGCCCAGACUCCUACGGGAGGCAGCAGUAGGGAAUCUUCGGCAAUGGGCGAAAGCCUGACCGAGCAACGCCGCGUGAGCGAUGAAGGCCUUCGGGUCGUAAAGCUCUGUUGUCAGAGAAGAACAAGUACGAGAGUAACUGCUCGUACCUUGACGGUACCUAACCAGAAAGCCACGGCUAACUACGUGCCAGCCGCCGCCGUAA